rnacentral:rRNA from 1 species
GAUGAACGCUGGCGGCGUGCCUAAUACAUGCAAGUCGAGCGAACAGACGAGGAGCUUGCUCCUCUGACGUUAGCGGCGGACGGGUGAGUAACACGUGGAUAACCUACCUAUAAGACUGGGAUAACUUCGGGAAACCGGAGCUAAUACCGGAUAAUAUAUUGAACCGCAUGGUUCAAUAGUGAAAGACGGUUUUGCUGUCACUUAUAGAUGGAUCCGCGCCGCAUUAGCUAGUUGGUAAGGUAACGGCAUACCAAGGCGACGAUGCGUAGCCGACCUGAGAGGGGGAUCGGCCACACUGGAACUGAGACACGGUCCAGACUCCUAAGGGAGGCAGCAGUAGGGAAUCUUCCGCAAUGGGCGAAAGCCUGACGGAGCAACGCCGCGUGAGUGAUGAAGGUCUUCGGAUCGUAAAAAUCUGUUAUUAGGGAAGAACAAAUGUGUAAGUAAAUAUGCACGUCUUGACGGUACCUAAUCAGAAAGCCACGGCUAACUACGUG